rnacentral:rRNA from 1 species
GAUGAACGCUGGCGGCGUGCCUAAUACAUGCAAGUCGAGCGAACAGACGAGGAGCUUGCUCCUCUGACGUUAGCGGCGGACGGGUGAGUAACACGUGGAUAACCUACCUAUAAGACUGGGAUAACCUCGUGAAACCGGCACUAAUACCGGAUAAUCUAUUGAACCGCAUGGUUCAAUAGUGAAAGACGGCUUUGCUGUCACUUAUAGCUGGAUCCGCGCCGCAUUAGCUAGUUGGUAAGGUAACGGCUUACCAAGGCAACGAUGCGUAUCCGACCUGAGAGGGUGAUCGGCCACACUGGAACUGAGACACGGUCCAGACUCCUACGGGAGGCAGCAGUAGGGAAUCUUCCGCAAUGGGCGAAAGCCUGACGGAGCAACGCCGCGUGAGUGAUGAAGGUCUUCGGAUCGUAAAACUCUGUUAUUAGGGAAGAACAAAUGUGUAAGUAACUAUGCACGUCUUGACGGUACCUAAUCAGAAAGCCACGGCUAACUACGUG